rnacentral:rRNA from 1 species
CCCCAGACUCCUACGGGAGGCAGCAGUGGGGAAUAUUGCACAAUGGGGGAAACCCUGAUGCAGCAACGCCGCGUGAGUGAAGAAGUAUUUCGGUAUGUAAAGCUCUAUCAGCAGGGAAGAAGAUGACGGUACCUGAUUAAGAAGCCCCGGCUAACUACGUGCCAGCAGCCGCGGUAAUACGUAGGGGGCAAGCGUUAUCCGGAUUUACUGGGUGUAAAGGGAGCGCAGACGGCAGUGCAAGUCUGGAGUGAAAGCCCGGGGCCCAACCCCGGGACUGCUCUUGGAACUGCGCGGCUGGAGUGCAGGAGGGGCAGGCGGAAUUCCUGGUGUAGCGGUGAAAUGCGUAGAUAUCAGGAGGAACACCGGUGGCGAAGGCGGCCUGCUGGACUGCGACUGACGUUGAGGCCCGAAAGCGUGGGGAGCAAACAGGAUUAGAUACCCCAGUA